AGUUACGCUGUGCCAGUGGGAGAGAGAGGAUGUUCGCCGCGCGCUCCGUGCUAGAUAUAUGUAGCUAAAGUGUUUGUGAAAACAUCAUACUUUCUAGAUAAAGGAAAAUAACGAAACACUAAGCAAACGAAGAAGA